UUUUAAAUUAGUGAAAUGACUCGUUGAGUUAACAAAACUAAGAUUAUAAAGCUAAAUUAGUUGGACCCUGUUAAAGAACGACUGCUUUUUAUCCAUGCAUUUAACGACUCGAAUUUAUAACUUGUUCCAAAUGUGAUACUUCGGUUGGCCUAUACAGCACGUGGUGACGUGGGAACUCUUCAUUGGGAAUAAGCUGGCUCCGCCUAGGG
rnacentral:lncRNA from 1 species